GGCUCAGUAGGUUGGUCGUGCCACCGGUACGUACUGGUCUCACUGAUUCCUCCUUCCUGAAGAACCGUAAUGCCAUUAAUUUGGUGUUGCGGGGAAACAGGACUGUUACUUUGAAAAAAUUAGAGUGUUUAAAGCAAGCUCACGCUUGAAUACAUUAGCAUGGAAUAAUGAAAUAGGACGAUCGAUCCUAUUUUGUUGGUUUCUAGGAUUGACGUA
rnacentral:rRNA from 1 species